rnacentral:tRNA from 1 species
GCGCCUGUAGCUCAAUUGGAUAGAGCGCCGGACUUCGAAUCCGGAGGCCGGGGGUUCGAAUCCCUCCAGGCGCACCA